AUUCUGGCUCAGGACGAACGCUGGCGGCGUGCUUAACACAUGCAAGUCGAGCGGAGAAUAUAGCAAUAUAUUCUUAGCGGCGGACGGGUGAGUAACGCGUGGGUAACCUGCCUUUUUACUGGGGGAUAACACUGGGAAACUAGUGCUAAUACCGCAUAAAAUAGUGAAGUGGCAUCACUUUACUAUCAAAGGAGCAAUCCGGUAAAAGAUGGACCCGCGUCCGAUUAGCUAGUUGGAGGGGUAACGGCCCACCAAGGCGACGAUCGGUAGCCGAACUGAGAGGUUGAUCGGCCACAUUGGGACUGAGACACGGCCCAGACUCCUACGGGAGGCAGCAGUGGGGAAUAUUGCGCAAAAGUCGGGGGAAACCCUGACGCAGCAACGCCGGCGUGAAGGAUGUAAGGUUUUCGGAUUGUAAACUUCUUUGAGUUGGGGACGAUAAUGACGGUAACCCAAAAAACAAGCCACGGCUAACUACGUGCCAGCCGCUGC
rnacentral:rRNA from 1 species